AAUCCACAUCAAUUGCCAUAGAAACCGCUGUGGAAUCCGCCCCCAUAAACUAAUAUGGGAUUGUAACAUUUUUUAACUCACGUAACCUUGUCUAAUUCAUAUUUUCUUUCAACAUUUUUGAGUUUCACUUAUUCCAAUUGUGUUGUGAGUUGUGACUUCCCAUUCUAACUAAUUGUAGGGAUGAUCAAUCAGAGUUAGUCAAGGAAGUUGUUCAAUGCACUUGGACCAGAUUGGAAAAAGUGAACUUGAUUGAUACUAAACAUCCUGUUGGACUAAGAUCCCACAUAGAAUCGGUAUUAUCUCUUCUGUCAGAUACAUCAAAUACCAGUUCUAAGGAUGUUCUGUUUCUAGGGAUAUGUGGUCCGGGUGGCAUUGGGAAGACAACCAUUGCGACGGCGGUAUACAACUGCAUCUCUAAAAAAUUUAGCAAGAGUUGUUUUCUUGAAGACGUUAGAGAGCAAGCGUCACAACCCAAUGGUACAGUUUGUUUGCAAGAGAAAAACUUCUUUACAAUAUCUCUCGGGUGGAAACAAAAAUAUGCAAUUCUAAAGAAGGAUCGAGAUUGAUAAAGGAUAGACUUCAAAACAUGAAAACUCUUCUCGUUCUUGAUGAUGUGGGUGAUUGUACCCAAUUAAAUGCAUUGGCUCGUGAUGUUGAUUGGUUUGGUCUUGGAAGUAGAAUAAUCAUAAUGACUAGAGAUCGGGGUGUUCUAAACGAGGUGACGCGGAACCGAAUUCCAAUGAUCGAAAUCGGAUCACUUAGGGCCCUCAAGAAUGACUAAGAAGCUCAAUGUAAUGGUUGAGGGGUAUUCUUGUAAUUUCAGAAACAAUUUUAAGAACUUAAAAGAGAGGAAAAUAAAUAAUGGGACAAACUAGAAUGGGAAAAUAAAGAGGGGGCAUUCUGGAAUUACUAAAGUAAAGGGGAAGUAAUAGAAUAUAACUUUAUGAAAUAAGGGCUUACUUGUAAUAACAGCAAGGGGUUUGUUUGCAAAUAAGAAAAUAUUGCUUCUUCAACCAUAGGCCCCGGUAGAACACAAUAGCUAGCAGAGACCGAAACUGGUUUCGGUUGGAAGAAGUUCUUCAAUAGGUAUCGGAUGGACCUAAAACUUUUAAGUGUAUGAUCGCAACUCCAGGUUCUACUGAUUCCAGCCAAUAAGCAGUCGAUUGUGCAGUCCAGAAGUUGAGAAUAAAACCCUGAACCUAUUCUGGACGAUAUUGUUGCAACCAUGAUGAUUUGUAGAGUAGAAGCUCACUGCAGGGAAGGAGUUUGGAGGAGAAACUCGAGAGCUUGAGUCGCCUAUGGAAGGGCUUCCUUCGCUCAAAAGCUUAACCCAAACAGAUCAAAGGUGAGGGAGAUUGAUCCUCUUGUUUGGGACUGCAACUACCGCCAGAAACAGGGCAGCAGCUAGGUGUAACAAACAGAAAUAAAUACAAGAAGGAAGAAGAUGGAGUCGUAGAGGAAAGGGAAGGGAAUAGCAGAUAAGAGAAUUUCAGAGAGGGAGAACAAGGGAGUCGCAGCUCACCGCAGCCAUGGUUCACCCUAAAAACAUUCAUUCAAUUUCAUUCAAUUCUAAAACUGAGUUCUUCUCCAUUACAGGGCUAUUUAAAGAAAAAAAUAAUGACAUAAUUUUGGAAGCUAAUAAAAAAAUGGAAACUUAAUCUAGUUAGCAACUAAAAUAAAAAUCAAAUCUAAAUAAAAGGCUGUUAAUCUAAUCUCUAACCAAUAAAGGAAGUAAAUAAAAAUCAAGUCAAAAGAUAGCAACUAAUUCUAUCAUCGAGCUGCAUCACGGGGUCCCUGAAAAUAAUAGAAAAAUAUAUGAGCCUAGAGAAUUGAAUCAGGAAGAAAGUCUUCGACUCUUCAGUUUGUAUGCAUUUUCAACGGACCAACCUUCUAUUGAUUUUAUUCAGCUUUCAGUUGAUAUAGUAGGCACUACAGGAGGGUUGCCCUUAGCUUUGGAGGUUUUAGGUUCUGAUUUAUAUAUGGAAAAAGAUAAAGAAGUAUGGACAUCCAGGCAUUGGAUGUUAAAACAAAUUCCUGAUGAUACUGUCGACGAAAAGUUGAAGAUAAGCUUUGAUAAUCUCAGUGAUAUUGAGAAAACUUUGUUUCUUGAUGUUGCAUGUCUUUUCAUAGGAUAGGAGGAAAAAAUUGUAAUUUCCAUAUGGGAAGCUUGUGGCUUUGAGCCGUGGUACCGUAUGGAAGUUCUGAAGAGAAAAUCUCUCUUAAAGAUCCGUGAGUCAAGUCAUUGGAAAAAGACAAAGUACUUGGUGAUGCACAAUCAGAUUAGAGACAUGGGAAGGAGAAUUGCCUACAAUCAAAGGCCAGAGAAUCCUGAUAACCAUAGCCGGUUAUGGUCUCGUGACAAUAUCAUGAAGGUAUUAAACAGCUGUAAGGGGAAUGAAAUGGUUGAAGGUCUCCUCCUGGACUUCAAUACAAAUGACCAUACUUGUUUACAUGCUAAAGACUUUGAGAAGAUGCCCAAGCUAAGAUUACUAUAAGUUGAUGGAGCAACCUUGGAGGGGAGCUUUCAAUGUCUUCCUUCUGGGUUAAGAUGGCUCAAAUGGCACAAAUGUCCAUUGGAAACAGUACCUGCCGAUUUUUAUCAUGAAUACCUAGUUAUACUCGGCUUAAGUCAUGGCUUGUUUAGACAAACUUGGAAUAACUGGCAUGAAAAUAAGGUGAGUGGUAUUUGUCUUUCUUCUCGUUGAUUUUACAAACGAGAGUAUUAUUGGACAUUAAUAUUUUAUAUUCUUCUUUAUUUGACAGAAGUUUCAACAAUUGAAAGUUCUUAAUCUUAGUGAUUGUCAUAAUCUAUCUAAAUCUCCCAACUUCUCAGGAGUUCCUCGAUUAGAGAGGUUAUCUUGAUAAUUGCACAUCAUUGGUUAAUUUACAUAAAUCCAUUGGGGAGCUCCAACAGCUUGUUUACUUGAACUUGGGAAAUUGUGAGUCACUUGAGAAUCUCCCAAACAAUAUAUGUAGGUUGAGAUCACUUCGGAACCUUAUUCUCUCUCUCAUUGCUACUCACUCAAAGAGUUGCCUGGGUCAAUUGGUGAUCUAAAAGAAUCUUUAGUUGAGCUUUCCUUGCCCCAAACAGAUAUUGAAGUGCUGCCUGAUGGUGUUGGACUGUUAAAGAAAUUGGAGGCAUUGAAUCUUAAAGGCACCAUGGCACUAACAUAUUUGCCAAGGUCAAUGGAGAAUAUGACGUCUUUGCGUAACUUCUACCUUAGUGGACGUCACAAGCUUCUGUGCUUUCCCAAGCUGCCCUCUAGUUUAAUUGCAUUUCGUAUUUCGAACACACUAUUUGAAAGUUUACCUGACAUGCAAAACAUGAAAAACUUGGAAGAUUUGGGGUUUGAAUAUAUUUGUGUAAAGAUGGAGCAAUUUUGAGGCUUUGUGAAGACGAGGAAUGAUGAUGAAUUCAGUGAACUGACCAAUAAAGUGGGUAGACACUGCGUGGUAACAAAUCAUCGUUCGUGGCAGACGCAAGGCCAGCAGGGAACAUUUCUUGGGGGUGACAUUGAAAGUUGGAGACAGAUGAAAGAGGUUCUAGCCGCUACCUGAUUCCUGAUUAUGACAAUAUCUAUAGCCACAGGCUAAUCAUGCAUGUUUCUUUGCCUGUCUCCGAAUUUAUUAGCCUGAUAUUUCGAUGUUGUGUCCAUAGCAAAGAUAAAAAAAACCAAAUGUAACAUUGGGAUGGAAAUUGAGUGGCCCAAAAAAUUCACAUGUGGAGAUCAUAUAGAAUGCAUUCAUGAAUUCAAAGGGUUUGAUUUGUUCGGGGUUCAACCGGAUGGUGGGGAA